CUACGGUUUAGCUUUUUUAUUUCUCAGUUUUUUUAACCUGCAGGUGAUCGUGUACCUCUUCUCCUUAUGUUGGCGAUAGUUUAAGGCCGUGUAUUUAGAAGUUGUUGAUGAUGUAUCAUCACAGCGCUUGAUGAAUUGUUGAAAUUGAAUUUUUUGGUUCACUUCUAGGACUUUUUUCUUCUCUAUAUGUAGUAAUCUUUGUUUCUUAUUUUCCCAUGUUUCCUAUGAUUUUUACCCAGGUAUACAUUUUAUUAUGGAGUAGUUUCUUAAAAAAUGUUUUUACACAUGGCUUCAGGCAACUUGGUUUGAUUCUGUUUAUGGGCAUUUCUUUUACUGUCAACAAUCAUUUAAUUAUUACUUUUUUUUAUCAUUCAAUUAAGAAAAAAUAAUAAUAAUAUUUUUGAAGGGAAAAAAUAAUCGUGAAAUCCUAUUUGUUGCCAGUUUCUGUUCUGUAUAUAUAUUUGUGAUUGAGAUUGAGAAAUAUAAACCUCCCAGCAUUGUUAUUGUUAUUAUCCUUUUUAACAGAUGUAUAUGUCCUUAGUGUGCUUAAAAGGGAUUGCAAUCACAUAAUGGAGCUAAAUGGUCCGAUGGAGGCGAACUGACGUGUUAUGGCUGAAUUUUCUGGGCAAGGUUUUAAGAUUUUUGGAAUGUGUAGCUUGCUUGACAAUCUACUUGAUCCACUCAUUUGAAAAUAUAUUCAAUCAUAUUUAAAGAGAAACUAUGUGUUUCUACAAAGUGAUUUGUGCUCAUUGUAAUCCAAAUAUUGUGGCCAGAUUGAAAUGAUUAUCAAUUCAAUAAACUUGUGAGUUCCUGCUAGGUAAGUAAACACCUUCCUCUGGUUUGGUGUAGAAAAAUGUGUGUAUCUGGUAUAGGAUUGUGUGCGGUUUCAUCCUAGACAACAGACAAUUUAAUGAUAUCUGCGGUAAAUACCAUAUUAAAAAUAUUUCUUUCAAGUUGAUGAUUUUGAAAAUCUAUAAAAUAUUCUCAUUAACGAUACAUGUAGAAUAUCCGGUUGCAAUAUUUACACCAUUUUAUUUCCUUGAUUAAAUAGGUAAAAGAAGAUAUUAUCAUGCUAACUGUUGCAUUAUUUACAUAAUUUUGGUAUCAUAUUUGUUGCCUCGAAUAAAAUGAUUUCGGCUAAAAGGAUUAAGAAAAUGUAAAAACUUUGUAUAAAAUGAUUUCGGCUAAAAGCAGUAAGAAAAUCUGAAGACUUUCUAAACUUGGAUAAUAGUUCAUUUGGAAAUAAAUCUACUCUAGAUCGAAAAAAAAAUCUUAAGGGUUUUUUUUAGUAGAUAAUGACUUUAUCAAAAGCUCAUUUUUGGAUUAUCAUAACAUACUUCGAUUUCUCUAAGCGUGGGAUGUUUACUUGACGUAGAAAUUGAUGGGAUAAAUCAUGUUGAACGUGGAGGACAUCUUUCCCCUAAUUAAAUGCAUACACACUUUGAUUUUUAGAGAUCAUUGGUAAAGAAAAUUUGUUCAUAUUUUAUUUUGACGAUACAAUAAUUCAUGCAACAGGAAAAUCAUCGAGUACAAGGACUAAAUAUUAGAGCCAGUAACUCCUAAAGAAGCAAGGAUAAAUCGUUUACGGCUUAUGGGUGUGAUAUUGGAAAGAAAAACAAUAGAAGACGAGGAAUAUAUUUCAUCUCGGAUGCAGGUGAAGAUCUAUGUGUAUUUGCGGUGUGCAUGAAAUUUUAAAUUUUGGUUCAGAUUUUAUUACAAAUGCAUUUUUGUUGAAUCUUGAUUCAUGUAGUAGGAAAAUACUCAAAUAAAUCAUUUGAACACGUA